rnacentral:sRNA from 1 species
AUGAUGGAAACACCAUGGCUGCGGCGGCCCAGCUCUCUCUGACACAGUUAUCAAGUGGGAAUUCUGUAUAUGAAAAAUACUAUAGACAGGUUGAUACAGGCAAUACUGGAAGGGUGUUGGCUUCUGAUGCUGCUGCUUUCCUGAAAAAAUCAGGGCUUCCAGACUUGAUACUUGGAAAGAUUUGGGAUUUAGCUGACACAGAUGGCAAAGGUAUCCUGAACAAACAAGAAUUCUUUGUUGCUUUGCGUCUUGUGGCAUGUGCCCAGAAUGGAUUGGAAGUUUCACUAAGUAGUUUGAACCUGGCUGUUCCUCCACCAAGAUUUCAUGAUACCAGUAGUCCUUUGCUAAUCAGUGGAACCUCUGCAGCUGAGCUCCCAUGGGCUGUAAAACCUGAAGAUAAGGCCAAAUAUGAUGCAAUAUUUGAUAGUUUAAGCCCAGUGAAUGGAUUUCUGUCUGGUGAUAAAGUGAAACCAGUGUUGCUCAACUCUAAGUUACCUGUGGAUAUCCUUGGAAGAGUUUGGGAGUUGAGUGAUAUUGACCAUGAUGGAAUGCUUGACAGAGAUGAGUUUGCAGUUACGGAGUCUCACUCUGUCACUCAGGCUGGAGUGCAGUGGCGGGAUCUCGGCUCACUGCAGCCUUGGCCUCCUGGAUUCAAGUGAUUCUUCCACCUCAGCCUCCUGAGGAGCUGGGAUUACAGGCAUGCACCACCACCCCCGGCUAAUUUUUAUAUUUUUAGUAGAGACAGGGUUUCGCCAUGUUUGCCAGACUGGUCUCGAGCUCCUGAUAAUAGGUGAUCCACUCGCCUCGGCCUCCCAAAGUGCUGGGAUUACAGGCAUGAGCCACCUCUUCAGGCCCAAGACAAAAAUAUAGUUAGAGUAGAUGGGGAAUAGUAGUGUCAUCAUUUGAUAAACGGUAGUGUAUGCUAAGGUAAAUGAAUAAACACAAUUUAUCUUAUAUGCCUGGAGCCUAUUCCCAGGUAACUGGCCUUUUUUUUUUUUUUUAAUAAAAAGCUUUAUUAAAAGAAUAAUUUUUGAAUAAUAAAUACAUUUGUAGGAAAUUACUACCUUGAAUUUUGUUUUAAAUAGUAGACACCCCUUUAUCUUCUCCUAGAUUUACUUGUUAACCAUUUUGUCACAUUUGCUUUCUCCCUGUAUCCAUAUUCUUCAGAAUUUUUUCCUAGUUUUAAACUCUAGCUUGUGUGAUUUUAAUACUGCUUCUCCUGUUCCCUCUUUUUUUGAAUUACCUGAUAUUUCUUAUGUUUGUUGUGUAUGUCUCUUGAAAAUGGCAGAUUUCUGUAUUUUAAUGCUUUACCUAAUUGGAUAGUUUUUAAGAUAAUAGCACUUACAUUGAUUUGAUUUUCCCUUCUUUACCUAUUUAUUUUACAUUUUUAUUUUCUCUGUUUCUUACUGUUGCUUAUUAUCAACUUGUGAUUCAUUCCCUUAUCCCGCCUCCCAGUUAAUGUGGAAAUUUUGUUAUAAUGUCUUGUUUCAUUAAUAUAGUUAAUACAGGUUGAGCAUCCCUAAUCUGAAAAUCCAAAAUUUGAAAUGCUUCAAAAUCUGAAACUUUUGAGUACUGACAUGACCCACAAAGUGGAAAAUUCCACUCCUGGUCUCAUGUGAUAAGUUGCAGUCAAAACUUUUGUUUCAUGCACAAAAUUAUUAAAAAGAUUGUAUAAAAUUAUCUUAGAUUAUGUGUAUAAAGUUUAUAUGAAACAUAAAUGAAUUUCAUGUUUAGACUUGGGUCCCAUCCCCAAGAUAGGAUAAUAUUCCAAAAUCUGG